rnacentral:rRNA from 1 species
UACGGAGGGUGCAAGCGUUAUCCGGAUUCACUGGGUUUAAAGGGUGCGUAGGUGGCAGUUAAGUCAGUGGUGAAAUCUCCGGGCUCAACCCGGAAACUGCCAUUGAUACUAUCUGUCUUGAAUAUCGUGGAGGUAAGCGGAAUAUGUCAUGUAGCGGUGAAAUGCUUAGAUAUGACAUAGAACACCAAUUGCGAAGGCAGCUUGCUACACAGUUAUUGACGCUGAGGCACGAAAGCGUGGGGAUCAAACAGG